UACGUAGGGCGCAAGCGUUAUCCGGAAUUAUUGGGCGUAAAGAGCUCGUAGGCGGUUUGUCGCGUCUGCCGUGAAAAGUCCGGGGGCUCAACUCCGGAUCUGCGGUGGGGUACGGGCAGACUAGAGUGAUGUAGGGGGAGACUGGAAUUCCUGGUGUAGCGGUGAAAAUGCGCAGAUAUCAGGAGGAACACCGAUGGCGAAGGCAGGUCUCUGGGCAUUAACUGACGCUGAGGAGCGAAAAGCAUGGGGAGCGAACAGG
rnacentral:rRNA from 1 species